rnacentral:rRNA from 1 species
GACGUAGGGCGCGAGCGUUGUCCGGAUUUAUUGGGCGUAAAGAGCUCGUAGGUGGUUUGUCGCGUUGUCCGUGAAAACUCACAACUCAAUUGUGGGCGUGCGGGCGAUACGGGCAGACUGGAGUACUGCAGGGGAGACUGGAAUUCCUGGUGUAGCGGUGGAAUGCGCAGAUAUCAGGAGGAACACCGGUGGCGAAGGCGGGUCUCUGGGCAGUAACUGACGCUGAGGAGCGAAAGCAUGGGGAGCGAACAGG